rnacentral:rRNA from 1 species
CACCGGAGCUUGCUCCACCGGGAAAAGAGGAGUGGCGAACGGGUGAGUAACACGUGGGUAACCUGCCCAUCAGAAGGGGAUAACACUUGGAAACAGGUGCUAAUACCGUAUAACAAUCGAAACCGCAUGGUUUCGUUUUGAAAGGCGCUUUACGGUGCCGCUGAUGGAUGGACCCGCGGUGCAUUAGCUAGUUGGUGAGGUAACGGCUCACCAAGGCCACGAUGCAUAGCCGACCUGAGAGGGUGAUCGGCCACAUUGGGACUGAGACACGGCCCAAACUCCUACGGGAGGCAGCAGUAGGGAAUCUUCGGCAAUGGACGAAAGUCUGACCGAGCAACGCCGCGUGAGUGAAGAAGGUUUUCGGAUCGUAAAACUCUGUUGUUAGAGAAGAACAAGGGUGAGAGUAACUGUUCACCCCUUGACGGUAUCUAACCAGAAAGCCACGGCUAACUACGUGCCAGCAGCCGCGGUAAUACGUAGGUGGCAAGCGUUGUCCGGAUUUAUUGGGCGUAAAGCGAGCGCAGGCGGUUUCUUAAGUCUGAUGUGAAAGCCCCCGGCUCAACCGGGGAGGGUCAUUGGAAACUGGGAGACUUGAGUGCAGAAGAGGAGAGUGGAAUUCCAUGUGUAGCGGUGAAAUGCGUAGAUAUAUGGAGGAACACCAGUGGCGAA